UACCUGCCAUUCAAAUAGCCUAUUCACCCCUCUUAUACAGGAGCCUAGAGCUGAAGACUAUCGUCGUCGUUACCAUCGUCCCCCGUAACCAACAGUUAAGAGGCACCAAGGAAUGAAUACCUGCCAUUCAAAUUGCCUAUUCCUCCAAUGCCUCCCAAUGCUUCCUCUUGAUUCACCAAUCUGAUUCAAAACUAGAACAAACCAAACUCCCAUAAGAUAUUCAAGUAAUUUCAAAUAACACAAUAGGGGAUUAUCACGCUUCCUGGUUCCGGUGGCGGGAUUUGUCUUCGUUGUGCAUGAACACUUCCGGCGCACUUCCACCAUGGCUGAAACAAAGGCGAGAUGUCACUGCUCUCUGUUCCACUUUGUACAUCUAACAAACAACACCAACCCUACUUAAGUUUUCAUGGAUUCCCGACUGAAAUGAGUCCAAGGAAGAAGUGGAUUCAAGCGGUUCGCCGGGAUGAAGGGCCAAACUUUAAAAUAAAACAAGGUAGCAUGUUUGUUUGUAGCCGGCACUUUAGUGAAUCAGACUACAAACGCUACAGCUAGCAACCAACCGGGGUCACACCAAGUGACUGAAAAUCGGGUCUUUACCCUCCCGUUUCCAGUGGAACAACUGGGAACUGCCAAGAAGGGGGUCUGUUUAUAAAAGAGCAUCAACUCGCUUAGGCCAUGACGUUCACCCAUCCCUUCCUCUGGAGCAACCGCUGCCCUGUGAAUAAGAGCCGAUGGAGGAGAUCUCAGCUUCGGUGGUGAUGACAGAACAUGAUUUCGGUUCUGCUCCUAAACCAGAGCUGACUGAACGAAGUGGACUGCUGGAUUUACUGGAGCCAGGAGAUGGCUGCAUGGCAGACAAGGGUUUCACCAUCGAGAAGCCACUAGCUGAUCGUGGGGCAACGCUGAUUAUACCACCCUUCAAGAUGACAGGUAGGCAUGAAAGGAAUGAACAUUUCAAAUUAAAACUUUGACCCAAAUGUGACCAUUAAGAUAUGCAGACAAAUGUUUAAGAUGGACUGAAGCACUCACAAUAAUAUUACUAAUUAAUUUAUCUCUAACCACUGCGCAGUUCACUGAAGAGGAUGCUCUGAAAACACAAGCAAUCGCUCGACUUCGAAUCCUCGUAGAAAGAGCAAUAGGCAGAGUCAAGGAAUACCGCAUCUGGGAACGCACUGUCCUUUCACCUUGUCUGCGACAGUCAAUCAGCUGUGGACCGUCUGCUGUGUGAUGACCAACUUCCAGGGACCACUUGAUUUAAAAGGCUACAUCCCUGUUGAAUAGUGUUUCUACUCAAACAUGUACCUAUAAAUAUUAAAUAUAAUAUAUAAAUAUUAAAACGAGAGGCACUGAACAUUUGGAGUGGUCCCUUCAUUUUUUCCGGAGCUGUAAUUUUGUACACUGAAAACAUUGUAUAUAUUGAAUGACAUGUAAUGUAAUUGAAUGAGAAGUCUUUCAUCUAUAAUCAAUUUUAAAGUCCAGUCAGUCCAUCCUGAAAGUAUUCAAAAUAAGGUUAAUAUAUAAUGUAGUAAAUGAUGUACUCAGAAAAAGAGAAUGAAUUAAAUCCUUUUAUUCUUUCAGUUCCUUUAUUCAUUCAGUUCAUUUCACAUUCAUUUCACUUUCUGCUGAAGAUACACAUUCAUAUAUGUACCAAAGAAGUACCAGUCUACCUUAUUUUUCAUCUCUUAUCCUUUCAUCCCUCCAGACUGAGCUGACGCCAAACCGACGUUAGCAUAAGCCAACCUACCUAGCGUAAGCUAGCUAGCAGACACUCGCAUUAGUAGUCGUUAUAUUUCUCGAAAAAUAAACAAUCCCUUGUCCAGUUUGGAGCGGGCUGUUAUGGAGUGUUGUUCGGUAAGUCUGUGAACUUCAGAAAACGUGACUUUGGGUACAUUUACCAGGGAUGUCGUGAAAGUGAACUGCCGGUCCUCCAUCAUCAGUUCGCCAGAGUGAUGAGUGGUUCACCGGAUGUCACAGUGCACAAUGAACACCGAAUGCGGAAGUACUACGUAUCAGCGUGAUAAUCCCCUAUAACUUAGACCUCACCCGCAGAGGGAGUGAAAAAAUAACGCCAGACCCAGAGCUUUACAGUGUCAAUAUACACGUUACAAAAUGAGACCCAUUCUACUGACUCAGUGGGACAGAUUGCACCAUCCGGAGAUUUCACAUCAAAGAUGUGAGGAUGAGAAUGUGCUGCUAAUGGCUGCGGCUGCCCACUGUGAACCUUGCACGUAGUAAGUUGGUGUGACAGUGAUGAGUUUGUUUUGUAGUUCUGGCUUGGACACUGCACAGUGUCGAACAGCUCACGAGAGAUGUACUCCUCCGGCACCUGAUAGGUUAGGGUUAGGUAAAUUAAAAUAUCUCAUGG
ensembl:lncRNA